rnacentral:rRNA from 1 species
GACAGAGGGUGCAAACGUUGCUCGGAAUCACUGGGCGUAAAGGGCGUGUAGGCGGAUAGAUAAGUCGGGCGUGAAAGCCCCAGGCUCAACCUGGGAACUGCACUCGAAACUGUUUAUCUUGAGUGCCGGAGAGGAAAGCGGAAUACCUGGUGUAGAGGUGAAAUUCGUAGAUAUCAGGUGGAACACCAGUGGCGAAGGCGGCUUUCUGGACGGUAACUGACGCUGAGGCGCGAAAGCUAGGGUAGCAAACGGG